GACGAACGCUGGCGGCGCGCCUAACACAUGCAAGUCGAACGAGUGAGAGAGAGCUUGCUUUCUCAAGCGAGUGGCGAACGGGUGAGUAACGCGUGAGGAACCUGCCUCAAAGAGGGGGACAACAGUUGGAAACGACUGCUAAUACCGCAUAAGCCCACGACCCGGCAUCGGGUAGAGGGAAAAGGAGCAAUCCGCUUUGAGAUGGCCUCGCGUCCGAUUAGCUAGUUGGUGAGGUAACGGCCCACCAAGGCGACGAUCGGUAGCCGGACUGAGAGGUUGAACGGCCACAUUGGGACUGAGACACGGCCCAGACUCCUACGGGAGGCAGCAGUGGGGAAUAUUGCACAAUGGGGGAAACCCUGAUGCAGCGACGCCGCGUGGAGGAAGAAGGUCUUCGGAUUGUAAACUCCUGU
rnacentral:rRNA from 1 species